rnacentral:pre_miRNA from 1 species
CAACCUGUGACUGAUAGGCAGUGUAGAAUUAGCUGGCUGCUUUGUUUAAUUGUAGCAGUCGCUACCACACUGUUACCUGUUGCAGGGACU